UACGUAGGGUGCGAGCGUUGUCCGGAAUUACUGGGCGUAAAGAGCUUGUAGGUGGUUUGUCGCGUUGUUCGUGAAAUCUCACGGCUUAACUGUGAGCGUGCGGGCGAUACGGGCAGACUAGAGUACUGCAGGGGAGACUGGAAUUCCUGGUGUAGCGGUGGAAUGCGCAGAUAUCAGGAGGAACACCGGUGGCGAAGGCGGGUCUCUGGGCAUUACCUGACGCUGAGGAGCGAAAGUGUGGGGAGCGAACAGG
rnacentral:rRNA from 1 species